AACGAACGCUGGCGGCAUGCCUAACACAUGCAAGUCGAACGAGACCUUCGGGUCUAGUGGCGCACGGGUGCGUAACGCGUGGGAACCUGCCCUUAGGUUCGGAAUAACUCCCCGAAGGGGGUCCUAAUACCGGUUAAGGUCUUCGCACCAAAGAUUUAUCGCUUUUGGAUGGGCCCGCGUUGGUUUAGCUGGUUGGUAGGGUAAAAGCAUACCAAGGCGGCGAUCCAUAGCUGGUCUGAGAGGAUGAUCAGCCACACUGGGACUGAGACACGGCCCAGACUGCUACGGGAGGCAGCAGUGGGGAAUAUUGGACAAUGGGCGAAAGCCUGAUCCAGCAAUGCCGCGUGAGUGAUGAAGGCCUUAGGGUUGUAAAGCUCUUUUACCCGGGAUGAUAAUGACAGUACCGGGAGAAUAAGCUCCGGCUAACUCCGUG
rnacentral:rRNA from 1 species